AGGAAAAUAUUUGGAGCUAGGGACUGGUGGGCACAUGACUGGGCAGCAAUGCACUCUUGCUGUCAGAAGGGAAGUUAUAGCAUCAAAAGUGCAUACAGGUCUGGAAAAAACUGGUGACGGUGCCAGGAAUUCUGCCAAAACAGAAAUUCAUACUAUGGAUGACAUUGUAUCGACGUUUGGCAAUAGUAGACAGGUUAGAAAAAUGGGGCAUCCACACAGACCAGGCAUGUUCUUUAUGUGAAAGUGGCAACACAGAGACUCAUGACCACCUUUUCUUUGAAUGUCCUUAUUCAGAAUCACUGUGGCAAGGUUCACUAAGGUGGCUGAAUUACAAUAGAGUGAUAAACAAUUUGGAGCAUGAAGUCCAAUGGCUCUCUGACAGAGUCAAUAAUAGGAACCCAAGGAAAACCAUCCUAGGAGUGGUAUUCGCCGCAGUUGUAUAUAAUAUCUGGAUGGAAAGGAAUGAAAGACGAUUCAGACAGUUGAGCAUGAACCAUCCUAGGAGUGGUAUUCGCCGCAUUUGUAUAUAAUAUCUGGAUGGAAAGGAACGAAAGACGAUUCAGACAGUUGAGCAUGGAUGCUAAGAUUAGAGCAAGACUGAUUGCACU
rnacentral:lncRNA from 1 species